GGAGAAGCGGUGGCCUCGAAGUGGGACCCCGGGAAGGCAGGACAAUUAACGGCCCGGGCUAAUAUGCUGUAAUUGCAGGCAGCCGGAAUUGGCGGUCCUGAGACUCCCCCUGCCCUGCCGAGGGGGCAGCUGGUACAGGGCAGAGACAUUUUGGACCUUGCCGUCAGCAGAGGCCUACAGGCCUGGCAUCACUGAGGAGAGAGGCAAUGGGACAGGGCAGCCCAUCCCUCCUUUCCAGCUACCACUGGAUCUGGUUUUUGCUCCAGUCUCUAUGAUGGAUUUGGAACUCGCCAGCUUGUGCCCAUGUCAGUACUGUGGCGGCUCCAUCUUUGGCAGUGCAUGGGAUUCUGGAAAGCAAUGAGUGGCCCCAACUGCGUGAAAAGGCCAAGAAAUCCAGUAGGACUCAAGCUCCCUGGGAAAAACAGUCGGGACGUGCCUGUCCCAGCUCCAGGCAAGGAGCAGUCAUUGGAUUAUAGCGCAAUAUCCGAAGUACACGUUGCCAGCACUGUGCGGGUGGAUAAUGUAAUCGGAGCUCAUUUUGCCUUCCAAUAAAUUACAGCAGGA
rnacentral:lncRNA from 1 species